rnacentral:rRNA from 1 species
CAUUGAUCCGUGAAUAUCUGAAUGGGGAAACCCACAUGAGAAUACCUCAUGUAUCCAUACGCCAAUCCAUAACGUNNNNNNNNNNGCAAAUAUCCUUUGAUCCGUGAAUGUCUGAAUGGGGAAACCCACAUGAGAAUACCUCAUGUAUCCAUACGCCAAUCCAUAACGUAUGGAAGGGAACCCGGUGAACUGAAACAUCUAAGUAGCCGGAGGAAGAGAAAGAAAAAUCGAUUUCCAAAGUAGCGGCGAGCGAAAUGGAAAGAGCCCAAACCGGAGUGCGUGCAUUCCGGGGUUCGGACCGCAUAAUUGAUUCAGCAAUUCCAGCAGAACUGUUUUGGGAAAGCAGACCAGAGAGGGUGAAAGUCCCGUAAGCGAAAGAAGAGCUGACAUGGCGGUAUCCAGAGUACAUCGAGACACGAGAAACCUUGAUGGAAUAAGCGGGGACCACCCCGUAAGGCUAAAUACUACUUAGUGACCGAUAGCGCAUAGUACUGUGAAGGAAAGGUGAAAAGGACCCCGGGAGGGGAGUGAAAGAGAACCUGAAACCCUGUGUUUACAAGCUGUGGAAGCACUUUAUAUGUGCGACCGCGUACUUUUUGUAGAACGGUCCGGCGAGUUACGCUUACUGGCGAGGUUAAGGACUUAAGGUCCGGAGCCGAAGGGAAACCAAGUCUUAAUAGGGCGGUUAUAGUCAGUAGGAGUAGACCCGAAACCGGGUGAUCUAUCCAUGUCCAGGUUGAAGAUGCCGUAAAAGGCGUUGGAGGACCGAACCCACAUCCGUUGAAAAGGGUGGGGAUGAGGUGUGGAUAGGGGAGAAAUUCCAAUCGAACCCGGAGAUAGCUGGUUCUCCUCGAAAUAGCUUUAGGGCUAGCCUCGUUUUAGUCUUGUGGAGGUAGAGCACUGAAUUUCCGCGGGGGCGUCAAAGCUUACCAAAGAAUAUCAAACUCCGAAUGCCAUUAAGAUGAUGAACGGGAGUCAGACUGUACGAGAUAAGUUGGACAGUCAAAAGGGAAAGAGCCCAGACCACCAGCUAAGGUCCCAAAGUGUGUGUUAAGUGGAAAAGGAUGUGGGGAUUCAAAGACAACUAGGAUGUUGGCUCAGAAGCAGCCAUUCAUUCAAAGAGUGCGUAACAGCUCACUAGUCGAGAGUCCCUGCGCCGAAAAUGUCCGGGGCUGAAACACAACACCGAAGCUGUGGAAUCAUACCUAGUAUGAUUGGUAGAGGAGCAUUCUUAAGACCGACGAAGCUGUACCGAUAAGGAGCAGUGGAGGGAUAAGAAGAGAGAAUGCCGGAAUGAGUAGCGAGAGGAAGGUGAGAAUCCUUCCGGCCGAAUAUCCAAGGAUUCCAGGGUAAAGCUGAUCUGCCCUGGGUAAGUCGGGACCUAAGGAGAGGCCGAGAGGCGUAUCCGAUGGACAACAGGUUUAGAUUCCUGUACCACAUAUGGUCAGAACUGUGGGGACGCAGAAGGAAAGCAUGAGCCAGGAAUGGAAAUACUGGUACAAGCAGAGGGGAUGGUGUGCUGGCAAAUCCGCACACGAAAGUCCUUGCUGUGAUGUGGAGCGAACUAGAGUAGCGAAGCAUGCGGACCGGCUGCCGAGAAAAGCCGCUAUUGUGCCAUAUGUGCCCGNNNNNNNNNNGUUGGCAAAUCCGCACACGAAAGUCCUUGCUGUGAUGUGGAGCGAACCAAAGUAGCGAAGCAUGCGGACCGGCUGCCGAGAAAAGCCGCUAUUGUGCCAUAUGUGCCCGUACCGUAAACCGACACAGGUGGAUGAGGAGAGAAUCCUAAGGCCGACGGAAGAAGUAUUGUUAAGGAACUCGGCAAAAUGACCCCGUAACUUCGGGAGAAGGGGUGCCUGAGAAAUCAGGCCGCAGAGAAUAGGCUCAAGCAACUGUUUAGCAAAAACACAGGUCUAUGCAAAACCGAAAGGUGAAGUAUAUGGGCUGACGCCUGCCCGGUGCUGGAAGGUUAAGAGGAGAGGUUAGCGCAAGCGAAGCUUUGAAUUUAAGCCCCAGUAAACGGCGGCCGUAACUAUAACGGUCCUAAGGUAGCGAAAUUCCUUGUCGGGUAAGUUCCGACCCGCACGAAAGGCGUAAUGAUUUGAGCACUGUCUCGACAAUACAUCCGGUGAAAUUGAAGUACCAGUGAAGAUGCUGGUUACCCGCGCCAGGACGGAAAGACCCCAUGGAGCUUUACUCCAGUUUGGUACUGGGAUUCGGUACUGCAUGUACAGGAUAGGUGGGAGACGAAGAAGUUAGGACGCCAGUCUUAACAGAGUCGCUGUUGGGAUACCACCCUUGCAGUAUUGGGUUUCUAACCAGCCGCUGUGAACCAGCGGUGGGACAAUGCCAGGCGGGGAGUUUGACUGGGGCGGUCGCCUCCGAAAGGGUAUCGGAGGCGCUCAAAGGUUCCCUCAGAAUGGUCGGAAACCAUUUAAAGAGUGCAAAGGCAGAAGGGAGCUUGACUGCGACACCGACGGGUGGAGCAGGUACGAAAGUAGGACUUAGUGAUCCGGUGGCAUAAAGUGGGAUUGCCAUCGCUCAACGGAUAAAAGCUACCCUGGGGAUAACAGGCUUAUCACUCCCAAGAGUUCACAUCGACGGAGUGGUUUGGCACCUCGAUGUCGGCUCAUCGCAUCCUGGGGCUGUAGCAGGUCCCAAGGGUUGGGCUGUUCGCCCAUUAAAGCGGUACGCGAGCUGGGUUCAGAACGUCGUGAGACAGUUCGGUCCCUAUCCGGCGCGGGCGUAGGAUAUCUGAGGGGAGCUGGCCUUAGUACGAGAGGACCGGGCUGGACGGACCACUGGUGCAUCAGCUGGAUACCAAAUCCAUAGCUGGGUAGCCAAGUCCGGAAGGGAUAAACGCUGAAGGCAUCUAAGCGUGAAGCCCCCCCCAAGAUGAGAUGUCCCUGU